rnacentral:rRNA from 1 species
AGCGAACGCUGGCGGCAGGCCUAAUACAUGCAAGUCGAGCGGGUCCUUCGGGAUUAGCGGCGGACGGGUGAGUAACGCGUGGAACGUGCCCUUUGGUACGGAACAACUGAGGGAAACUUCAGCUAAUACCGUAUGUGCCCUUCGGGGAAAGAUUAUCGCCAUUGGAGCGGCCCGCGUUGGAUUAGGUAGUUGGUGAGGUAAAGGCUCACCAAGCCUACGAUCCAUAGCUGGUCUGAGAGGAUGACCAGCCACACUGGGACUGAGACACGGCCCAGACUCCUACGGGAGGCAGCAGUAGGGAAUCUUGCGCAAUGGGCGAAAGCCUGACGCAGCCAUGCCGCGUGAAUGAUGAAGGUCUUAGGAUUGUAAAAUUCUUUCACCGGGGACGAUAAUGACGGUACCCGGAGAAGAAGCCCCGGCUAACUUCGUGCCAGCAGCCG